rnacentral:rRNA from 1 species
UACGUAGGGAGCAAGCGUUGUCCGGAAUCAUUGGGCGUAAAGCGCGCGUAGGCGGCUCGAUCAGUCUGUUGUGAAAGUCAAAGGCUCAACCUUUGAAUGCCGAUGGAUACUGUCGAGCUAGAGUCCGGAAGAGGCGGGUGGAAUUCCUGGUGUAGCGGUGAAAUGCGCAGAUAUCAGGAAGAACACCCGUGGCUAAGGCGGCUCUCUAGUACGGUACUGACGCUGAGACGCGAAAGCGUGGGGAGCGAACAGG